GCUAAACGCGAAGAACCUUACCUACCCUUGACAUGUCCGGAACCCUGGUGAGAGCCGGGGGUGCCCGAAAGGGAAUCGGAACACAGGUGCUGCAUGGCUGUCGUCAGCUCGUGUCGUGAGAUGUUGGGUUAAGUCCCGCAACGAGCGCAACCCUUGCCACUAAUUGCCAGCGCGUAAUGGCGGGCACUCUAAGGAGACUGCCGGUGAUAAACCGGACGAAGGUGGGGACGACGUCAAGUCAUCAUGGCCCUUACGCCUGGGGCUACACACGUGCUACAAUGGCCGGUACAAAGGGCAGCGAAGCCGCGAGGUGAAGCCAAUCCCAUAAAGCCGGUCGUAGUCCGGAUCGCAGUCUGCAACUCGACUGCGUGAAGUCGGAAUCGCUAGUAAUCGUGGAUCAGCAUGUCACGGUGAAUACGUUCCCGGGUCUUGUACACACCG
rnacentral:rRNA from 1 species